rnacentral:snoRNA from 1 species
AAGCCAGCCAAAUAAUCUACUUCCCUAAAUGCGUUUCUACAGAAAUUGUUUAAAAGCUGGCAAUAGGGGCGGUGACUAUGGCUCAAAGGAGUAGGGCACUGGCCCCAUAUACCA